UUUGAUCAUGGCUCAGAUUGAACGCUGGCGGCAGGCCUAACACAUGCAAGUCGAACGGUAACAGGAAGCAGCUUGCUGCUUUGCUGACGAGUGGCGGACGGGUGAGUAAUGUCUGGGAAACUGCCUGAUGGAGGGGGAUAACUACUGGAAGAGGUGGCUAAUACCGCAUAACGUCGCAAGACCAAAGAGGGGGACCUUCGGGCCUCUUGCCAUCAGAUGUGCCCAGAUGGGAUUAGCUUGUUGGUGAGGUAACGGCUCACCAAGGCGACGAUCCCUAGCUGGUCUGAGAGGAUGCCCAGCCACACUGGAACUGAGACACGGUCCAGACUCCUACGGGAGGCAGCAGUGGGGAAUAUUGCACAAUGGGCGCAAGCCUGAUGCAGCCAUGCCGCG
rnacentral:rRNA from 1 species